UACGAAGGGUGCAAGCGUUACUCGGAAUUACUGGGCGUAAAGCGUGCGUAGGUGGUUCGUUAAGUCUGUUGUGAAAGCCCUGGGCUCAACCUGGGAAUGGCAUUGGAAACUGGCGACCUAGAGUGCGGUAGAGGGGAGUGGAAUUCCCGGUGUAGCGGUGAAAUGCGUAGAUAUCUGAAGGAACAUCAGUGGCGAAAGCGACUUCCUGGACCAAUACUGACGCUCAUGUGCGAAAGCGUGGGGAGCAAACAGG
rnacentral:rRNA from 1 species